rnacentral:rRNA from 1 species
CUACGGGGUGCUCCAGUGAGGAAUAUUGCACAAUGGGGGGAACCCUGAUGCAGCAACGCCGCGUGGAGGAUGACGCAUUUCGGUGUGUAAACUCCUUUUAUAUGUCAAGAAAAUGACGGUAGCAUAUGAAUAAGCACCGGCUAACUCCGUGCCAGCAGCCGCGGUAAUACGGAGGGUGCAAGCGUUACUCGGAAUCACUGGGCGUAAAGGACGCGUAGGCGGGCUUGUAAGUCAGGUGUGAAAUCCUACAGCUUAACUGUAGAACUGCACUUGAAACUACGAGCCUAGAGUAUGGGAGGGGGAGAUGGAAUUAGUGGUGUAGGGGUAACAUCCGUAGAUAUCACUAGGAAUACCUAAAGCGAAGGCGAUCUCCUGGAACAUAACUGACGCUAAGGCGUGAAAGCGUGGGGAGCAAACAGGAUUAGAUACCCCUGUAGUC